AGAGUUUGAUCCUGGCUCAGAUUGAACGCUGGCGGUAUGCUUUACACAUGCAAGUCGAACGGAUCAAGAAGCUUGCUUCUUGGUUAGUGGCGAACGGGUGAGUAAUAUAUCGGAACAUAUCCGGAAGUGGGGGAUAACGUAGCGAAAGUUACGCUAAUACCGCAUAUGCCCUGAGGGGGAAAGGGGGGGAUCGCAAGACCUCUCGCUUUCGGAGUGGCCGAUAUCGGAUUAGCUAGAUGGUGAGGUAAAGGCUCACCAUGGCGACGAUCCGUAGCUGGUCUGAGAGGACGACCAGCCACACUGGAACUGAGACACGGUCCAGACUCCUACGGGAGGCAGCAGUGGGGAAUUUUGGACAAUGGGCGAAAGCCUGAUCCAGCCAUACCGCGUGAGUGAAGAAGGCCUUCGGGUUGUAAAGCUCUUUCAGCCGGAAAGAAAUCGCAUUCCUUAAUACGGGGUGUGGAUGACGGUACCGGAAGAAGAAGCACCGGCUAACUACGUGCCAGCCGCCGCGGU
rnacentral:rRNA from 1 species